GUCUGCUGUCUUUACUGUUUUUCGUUACAGGUACUAUCUGAAAAUGAAGGCAAGAACUAGAAUCAGUGCCUAAACGAGAAACGAGCGUCCACAGACUCUGGGACUGAGAAGACUCAUCAAAUAGGAAUCUUAUCUCCUCGGCCCUGACUCCAUACAGAGACCGUGCACCAGAAAAUUCAUCCAAAUCGACAGUCACAAAGUUCAUUUUAUUUUCUCUGAAUUUCCAUUUAGGCUCAGUGCUAACAUCUCACCAGGGUAUUUUCAUGACACAUUUAUAUUACAGAUCAAAAGAGAAAAAGGCCAUGAUCUGUGAACUAAAAGCCCCUUGCAAAUCCAUGUAUCCAAGCACAAUAAAGUUAAAUUUAGGAAGA